rnacentral:rRNA from 1 species
AGGGUUCGAUUCUGGCUCAGGAUGAACGCUGGCGGCGUGCUUAACACAUGCAAGUUGUGCGGUGAUCUCAAGAAGUUUCGGACGGAAAGGGAGAGCAGCAGCGGACGGGUGAGUAAAGCACAAGGACUUGUCCCGAAGAGGGGGACAACUGUGGGAAACCACAGCUAAUACCCCAUAAGCCGAGAGGUGAAAGCAGUAAUGCGCUUUAGGAGAGACUUGUGUCCUAUCAGGUAGUUGGUGAGGUAACGGCUCACCAAGCCGAAGACGGGUAGCCGGACUGGGAGGUUGUACGGCCACAUUGGAACUGAGAGACGGUCCAGACUCCUACGGGAGGCAGCAGUGGGGAAUAUUGGGCAAUGGGGGCAACCCUGACCCAGCGACGCCGCGUGAGGGAAGACAGCCUUCGGGUUGUAAACCUCUGUUGCAGGGGAAGAAGAAAGUGACGGUACCCUGCGAGGAAGCUCCGGCAAACUACGUGCCAGCCGCCGC